CCUACGGGUGGCAGCAGUGGGGAAUAUUGCGCAAUGGGCGAAAGCCUGACGCAGCGACGCCGCGUGAGGGAUGAAGGUCUUCGGAUCGUAAACCUCUGUCUGCAGGGAAGUACGGUCACUGUGCUAAUCAGCAGUGAAUUGACGGUACCUGCAAAGGAAGCACCGGCUAACUCCGUGCCAGCAGCCGCGGUAAUACGGAGGGUGCGAGCGUUAAUCGGAAUUACGUGGCGUAAAGCGCUCGUAGGCGGUAUGUCAAGUCAAGGGGGAAAUCCCCGCGCUCAACGUGGGUACUGCCUUUGAAACGGGAAAACUGGAGUGUGUGAGAGGAUAGUGGAAUUCCAGGGGUAGGAGUGAAAUCCGUAGAUAUCUGGAGGAACAUCAGUGGCGAAGGCGAGUAUCUGGCACAUAACUGACGCUGAGGAGCGAAAGCGUGGGUAGCAAACAGGAUUAGAUACCCGAGUAGUC
rnacentral:rRNA from 1 species